rfam:Myotis lucifugus cont2.5509, whole genome shotgun sequence.
GGCAGUUCUCGGGUGAUGCACCCCAGUAUCAGACUCCCUCCUCUCUGGUUCCGGGGUACAUCACCCAAGAACCACC